rnacentral:tRNA from 1 species
UGGCUCAGAGGUUAAAGCAUCUGCCUCCAAUGCGGAAGACCCGGGUUUGAUCCCUGG